GAGGGUAUAGCUCAGUGGUAGAGCGCAUGCUUAGCAUACAUGAGGUCUUGGGUUCAAUCCCCAGUACCUCCA
rnacentral:tRNA from 1 species